rnacentral:rRNA from 1 species
UGGGGAAUAUUGCACAAUGGGCGCAAGCCUGAUGCAGCCAUGCCGCGUGUAUGAAGAAGGCCUUCGGGUUGUAAAGUACUUUCAGCGGGGAGGAAGGGAGUAAAGUUAAUACCUUUGCUCAUUGACGUUACCCGCAGAAGAAGCACCGGCUAACUCCGUGCCAGCAGCCGCGGUAAUACGGAGGGUGCAAGCGUUAAUCGGAAUUACUGAGCGUAAAGCGCACGCAGGCGGUUUGUUAAGUCAGAUGUGAAAUCCCCGGGCUCAACCUGGGAACUGCAUCUGAUACUGGCAAGCUUGAGUCUCGUAGAGGGGGGUAGAAUUCCAGGUGUAGCGGUGAAAUGCGUAGAGAUCUGGAGGAAUACCGGUGGCGAAGGCGGCCCCCUGGACGAAGACUGACGCUCAGGUGCGAAAGCGUGGGGAGCAAACAGG